GAAGCUUCGAUCCUGUGUUCCGAGAUGCACAGCCUACCAGUCUUGUCUGCAUCAUGUGCAUCAUAGCAUGUUUAUUUUCAAAAGAUACGCAAUGAAAAAAUUGAAAAGAAAAAGAAAAAAGAAAAAACUAAUCCCUGCAUGCAUAUCAUUUCUCAGGUACAUUCCAGAGUCUAUUCACUGAUAGAGAUGGCAACAGUCCCAGAGCCGAAGCG
rnacentral:lncRNA from 1 species